rnacentral:lncRNA from 1 species
CUUCUUCUCCUUCUCCUUCUCCUUCUUCUUUUCUUCUUCUUCUCCUCUUCCUUCUCCUUCUCCUCCUCCUCCUCUUCCUCCUCCUUCUUUUACUUCUUCUUCUCUUUCUCUUCUUCUACGUAGNNNNNNNNNNUAAUUAGCUUAGUUAGCUCCAAAAUGACCUAUUUAAUAAAAAAUGGCCUAUACUUAGCUAAUUAUCCUCGAAAUGACAUAAUUAGCUCCAAAAAGGCAUUCUUAGCCAAUUUAGCCCGAAGAAGGGGACAAGACGAGAAGAAAGAGGAAAAAUAAAAGGAAGGAAGAAGAAGAAGAGGAGAAGAAGAAGAAGG